AGCUCCAAUAGCGUAUAUUAAAGUUGCUGCAGUUAAAACGCUCGUAGUUGUUGUCCAACUAUACGCCGCUCUUCUUUGAAGAUGCGGUUUAAUAGUUUAGCGGGCUCGCCCUGCCAAAACCUUGAGGAAAGAUUAGUGUUCAAAGCAAUUACUACUUGACCUCUCCAGCAUGGUAUUUAACCAAAUCGAGGGAGAUUCUUGCCAAGUCUUCAUCAUACUAAAUAGAAAUUCAAGGGGGUAUACGUACUUUAAUGUCAGAGGUGAAAUUCCGUGAUUUUUAGGAGACGAUCAAAUGCGAAAGCAUUCACCAAGCGACUUUUCU
rnacentral:rRNA from 1 species